UACUAUAGAUUUUCAGUACUGGCAGUGAAUUUUAGAACGCAGCUCAGGCAGGAAAGAUCCAAUCCGUACACGUCACUGUGCAAACCCAGGUCUGCCAUUUCUAUCGUGUUCGUCGAGGCGGAAGGUUGUUUCUCACGACCCUUCUUACAAUCAAGAAGGCAAAAAUUAACAAUCUUCCAACAUGGUGAACGGAAGGAUUCCAUCGGUCUUCUCCAAGACCUAUGUUACACCCAGAAGGCCAUACGAGAAAGCUCGUUUGGACCAAGAAUUGCGUAUCAUUGGAGAGUAUGGACUCCGAAAUAAGCGUGAGGUAUGGAGGGUGAAAUAUACCCUUGCGAAAAUCCGCAAGGCAGCUCGUGAAUUGCUCACAUUAGAAGAAAAAGACCCGAAGCGUCUUUUUGAAGGAAAUGCUUUGUUACGUCGUCUGGUAAGAAUUGGUGUGUUGAACGAAGGUCACAUGAAGCUUGAUUAUGUGUUGGGCUUGAAAAUUGAGGACUUCUUGGAGCGACGUCUACAGACUCAAGUAUUUAAGAUGGGUUUAGCCAAGUCCAUUCAUCAUGCCCGUGUUCUUAUUCGCCAGAGACACAUUCGGUAUCAGGACGAUUACACUUGGUCGAUUAGUCCCGGUUGACCGUUUGUGUUGGGUCUGGAAUUCGAGCUCACAGUCGUUAAUUUAACGAAACGUUUUUCAUUCGCGCAGGCCACUUAAGUACCGUUCACUGGUACUUAACGUCUGUUGAUCUAUUGAGAUCUUUCGUGCUCGUCGAGAAAAAGAAAUCGAGAACAUGAGGAGGCUGCGAGUGCGCAAGCAGGUGGUGAAUAUACCAUCGUUCAUCGUACGAUUGGAUUCACAAAAACACAUCGACUUCUCGCUCAAGUCGCCCUUCGGUGGCGGCAGGCCUGGCCGCGUCAAGAGGAA